rnacentral:rRNA from 1 species
GACGAACGCUGGCGGCGUGCCUAAUACAUGCAAGUCGAGCGGACUUGACGGAAGCUUGCUUCCGUUCAAGUUAGCGGCGGACGGGUGAGUAACACGUGGGUAACCUGCCUGUAAGACUGGGAUAACUCCGGGAAACCGGGGCUAAUACCGGAUAUUCUUUUUCUUCGCAUGAAGAAGAAUGGAAAGGCGGCUUUUAGCUGUCGCUUACAGAUGGACCCGCGGCGCAUUAGCUAGUUGGUGAGGUAACGGCUCACCAAGGCAACGAUGCGUAGCCGACCUGAGAGGGUGAUCGGCCACACUGGGACUGAGACACGGCCCAGACUCCUACGGGAGGCAGCAGUAGGGAAUCUUCCGCAAUGGACGAAAGUCUGACGGAGCAACGCCGCGUGAGUGAAGAAGGUUUUCGGAUCGUAAAGCUCUGUUGUCAGGGAAGAACAAGUACGGAAGUAACUGU